UGGGGAAUAUUGGACAAUGGGCGGAAGCCUGAUCCAGCAACGCCGCGUGAGGGAUGACGGCCUUCGGGUUGUAAACCUCUUUCAGUACCGACGAAGCGCCCGUUGUGGGUGGUGACGGUAGGUACAGAAGAAGCACCGGCCAACUACGUGCCAGCAGCCGCGGUAAUACGUAGGGUGCGAGCGUUGUCCGGAAUUAUUGGGCGUAAAGGGCUCGUAGGCGGUUUGUCGCGUCGGGAGUGAAAACACCGGGCUUAACUCGGUGCCUGCUUUCGAUACGGGCAGACUAGAGGUAUGCAGGGGAGAACGGAAUUCCUGGUGUAGCGGUGAAAUGCGCAGAUAUCAGGAGGAACACCGGUGGCGAAGGCGGUUCUCUGGGCAUUACCUGACGCUGAGGAGCGAAAGUGUGGGGAGCGAACAGGAUUAGAUACCCUGGUAGUCCACACCGUAAACGUUGGGCGCUAGGUGUGGGGCCUAUUCCAUGGGUUCCGUGCCGCAGUUAACGCAUUAAGCGCCCCGCCUGGGGAGUACGGCCGCAAGGCUAAAACUCAAAGGAAUUGACGG
rnacentral:rRNA from 1 species